CACCUAAAAAAAAUAUAAAGAGCAUCUCAUUCUCCUCAAAAAGCUUCAAAGUGCAAGAAAGGUAUGUAUCCCCUCAAAAGAGCAAAAGUAGAAUUAGACUUUCACCAUUGUUAUCACCAUCAUCACCAUACACCAUUCACUCGCCACACAUGCACAUCUUGAUUUGACUUAUUGACUUGUUUCUCUAGAUCCAUUGUUUGACUAUGCAAUAAAUGUCUUGUAAGUACGUAUUAGCUCUCUCCCACCUAUGAGCUCCUGAUAUCAAAACCUUAUUAGAGUAGGGUGAGAGAGAAGGCAAUGUCACUAUGCCUCAUACCAAAAAUACCAC
rnacentral:lncRNA from 1 species